ACGUAACCCUUACCUUGCACUGUGUGUCCCUGGGGAUUCUGGGAAGGGUAAAGUGCAAUGCUGUAUCUGUUGUCUGCUGAGGAGGUGUGUUUGGGCAUGUGAGUGUCUUUGCACAUAUCCUGAAGUCACUGUGGUGACUGAGCAGUGGUGUCUGACAGUCAGAGAUGGCAGUCCUGGGGUCCCUUGUCCAAGCCUGUGCUCUGGCCUUCCUGAUGCAGAUGGCAACUGCUCAGGUCUAUGACACCAGCCUAAAUCUCAACGGGUGGCACAGGGGUCCUCUUGUGUUCGAGGGUUCCCAGGGCACUGAGUCCAAUGUAUCAGAGGCCCUGCCAAACAGCACCAACACACAUCUGUACAUCAAAGGCUUCAUAGCUCUGGGCUUCUCAACCAUUGGCUUUGGAAGCUCACUUGUUCCCAUCAAACGUACCGAGACAGGAAAUGGCUUGUUCUUCCAGUGGGUUUUCUGCUCAACCAUGUGGCUUGAGUCUCUCCCUGUGCACUUUCUCCAGGGAAGCUCAGAAACAUGGCUCCUCAGCGUAGUGGCAGGAUGUCUGUAUGGCAUAGGCAACCUCACCAAUGUACCAAUCAUAAGGACCAUUGGCCUAGGACUUGGAUUUCUGAUCUGGUCAACAUUUUGUCUCCUUAUGGGCUGGGCCAGUGGCAGAUUCGGUUGGUUUGGACUUGAUCCACAGGAUGUAGCAAGUCCUGUGUUGAAUUACAUUGGGACUGGUCUGGCAACAGUCAGUGUGGUGAUUGUGUUGUUUAUGAAAAUGGAGACUAGGACAGAGGAUGAGCAAGCAUACGAUGUAGAGCCCCUCCUUGAGAACGACACUGACAAGGGUCAUGACAGCAAACUGGAGAGCCUAGUAGAUGAGUGCAUUCUGACUGAGUCCAAAGAAGAGGCAUGGGAGGACAAACUCAGCCCCCUUAAGAGAAAGAUAGUGGGCUGCUCUCUGGCUGCAUUUGCUGGCGUGCUCUAUGGAUGUUGUUACACACCAAUCAUCUUUGUGAAAAACAGUGCAAUAAGAAACAACACACAUUUUGCAGGUGCCAGUCAAUAUGAUCUGGAUUACAUUUUUCCAUUCAUGACUGGCGCUUGUGCCACACCGGCUCUUGCAUUCUUUGUUUAUUGUGUAAUCAUGAAGAACAGACCUCAUCUUCCUUCAAAAUGUGUCCUGCCAGCUUUUUUUGCAGGAACCUUGCAGUUUGGAAGCCAAAUUGCAUGGUUUUUGUCUUGCUAUUAUGUUGGAAGUGUUGUAACAUACCCUAUUGGUACAGCUGACUGCCAACCACCAGCAGGCUCGGAGUGUUAAAACACGUCCCAGACAGGUAGUUCUCUCUCUGCCUCAAACCUCAGACACAACAGGUCACCACAAUAAUAUGUGCUCAUAGGGAAGCGUGAGUUAUUUUCUCAAAGUCCAUUUCAUAGAUUUGGUUUAUUUUUGGUGUAGCCUACAGGUCUGUUUGGAAUCAUGUAGCCUAUUAUCAAAGUAAAAAGGUUCAUAGAAUAUUUCAACAGUGUGAGCUACAGGAUACACAGGAGUUCCUGUUCCCAGGACUGAAUAGAGGUCAACAGACAGACAUAAUCAAUCAAAGACUAAUGGUGACCAAAGAAAAUAUUGUUAGAUAGUGUGAUGCCGGUCAGUUUACAGGAGAGACAAAUCAACUGAAAUGGGCAGGUCUGGGGGAUUUUCCAUUGGUGCUUUGAAGUUAUGCUGCAUUAGAAGUUUAACAGUGCCAAGGUGUCCUGUGCCACACCACACUAAUUUCGGAUCCUUCCGUGAACAGGGCCAAACCGCAUCAGGUCCAAACAGGACCAAAAAUACUAGCCUUUUGAUUGGCUCUUUCAUCAUCCAGAGCUUGUGUGUCCUUUUUUUUUAUCAAGACUUGGUUGUUGCAUCAGGAUUGAGUCAUAUGGACAGCCAGAAAUGGAGACUUUUGAAACAAUGAGAGUUCCACAUUUGCUUCUUGAUUGGGGGUUAGCAGUCACGACUAUCUCUCCCUUUCUAUUCACCAUGCAGUAUAUGUGAUGUGACAUAGGUUAUGUUGUGAUAUACAUUCUCGUGUAGGAGAACGGAGAUAAUUGCUGAUACAGGACUAAAACACGAGUCUGGACAGAGAUCAUUCUCAUUUUGGAAUGCCAUUUUACAAUGGAAAUGCAUUAAUGUAGAUGUAGUCUCAGUCAGAACUGCUCAUUUGGUGAAAUUUUAUUGCAAUAUGAAGGACUAGCUAAAAUGGUAAGCUAUAGAAUGAAGGUAUAGUUAAGAAGUGUUUUUGAACAAGCUGGUUUAAGCUGUGCUUAAAGUAUAUGGAGCUGAAGGAAGUUUGCUUGCUGUUAUUAUGCCAUGACAACAUUUGGAAUAAUAUGUUCGCAGGGACCUUCUCUUGUGUCUUUGGCAUGGAGUGUAUUUUGCUUCCGAGAGAUUAAGGGAACCAAGAACUUCAUUCUGCUUGGUGUUAUUUUGUUAACUGUUCUUACUGGUAUUACACUAAUUUCAGUUUCA